AGAAGAGGUAGAGGAGGAACAGCUGAUCAGGAGUGUGAUGGACAGGGUGAGGACAACAGCCAGGCAGGAAUUUCAGAUUAGCAGACAGGACACAAUGGCACUUCAGCAUCUUGCCCAGAACUCCUCUUUAAUGGAACAAAUUUAAUGCAAUUCACCUUUUGACAGCAGGCUUUGUGUACAGACUGUGGGAAAGUUUCCUUUCCUGAUGAGGUCAUCCCUCAACCCCCGAGAUCUGUUUCACUUACACACAAACACACAGGAAGGAG